rfam:Myotis brandtii contig196515, whole genome shotgun sequence.
GGCAGUUCUCGAGUGAUGCACCCCUGAAUUGGGCUCCCUCCUCUCUGGUUCCAGGUGUGUCACCUGAGAACCACA